rnacentral:rRNA from 1 species
AGUGAACGCUGGCGGUAGGCCUAACACAUGCAAGUCGAACGGCAGCACAGUAAGAGCUUGCUCUUACGGGUGGCGAGUGGCGGACGGGUGAGGAAUACAUCGGAAUCUACUUUUUCGUGGGGGAUAACGUAGGGAAACUUACGCUAAUACCGCAUACGACCUACGGGUGAAAGCAGGGGAUCUUCGGACCUUGCGCGAUUGAAUGAGCCGAUGUCGGAUUAGCUAGUUGGCGGGGUAAAGGCCCACCAAGGCGGCGAUCCGUAGCUGGUCUGAGAGGAGGAUAGGCCAGAUUAGAAGUGAGACGGGCUCCCGAGGACUACGGGAGGCAGCAGAGGGGAAUAUUGGACAAUGGGGGCAAGCCUGACCCAGCCAUACCGCGUGGGAGAAGAAAGCCUUCGGGUUGUGAAGCCCUCUUGUGGGGAAAAAAAAGCAGCAGGUUAAUACCCCGCUGUUCUGACGGUACCCAAAAAAUAAGCACCGGCUAACUUCGUG